rnacentral:lncRNA from 12 species
GAACCCCCGCACUCUCUUUAUCUAGCACACCAUAAUAAAAGAUCAAGAGUUCCUGCUUAUUAUCUUAUUUUUCCUGCUUGCUUCACCAGGCUAAGGCCCAGUCUGGUUAUGGAUUAACACGGUGAUCAAUAGUAAGCCUGCUGUCUCUCUCUCGGCAGGGGAAAAUGAACUCAAAAUGCAGUCAAACUCUUAUUGAUCAAGGAUAUAGGUCUCACUUUCAUUACCUCUGUCUCCUGAUAACCCACAAAUAAUGUGAUGAGUUGCUAAUCUCUCUGAUUUUCAAUGGACCCUUCACCCCUCCUGUCUGCACAUAGAAGCUUUUAUUUUCAUCUUGAUACACACUCUGUGUAAUUCAUGUAGCACUAACUCUCACUCUCUUACCGCCAGCCCUGGUCAAUCAGAGCUAAUAAUAUCACUCUUCACUGGGGAUGGCGGCUCCGGCAAGUUCAAGAUACAGAAUCUCCGAACGUGGCAAGGAAAUGCAACCUGGCCUACUUCUUUUGGAGGACAGAGAGAUGUGGAGUCUUCGUGGUGAAGCAACAUACAAAUUGAGCCUAAACAUCUUCACUGGAUUCAUCACAGCAUAAACACAAACACAUCCGUGUUCACCGCAAAGAGUACCGUAGAAAUCCUGAGGGCUCGCCGUGUGUUUGACACUCUACAUACACCAUCGAGUUAAUCUGCCAACAGUCCUGUGAAGGAGGGAUCAUAAGCAGUGACGAAAGCUCAACAAGGUAGGGGACGUGACCAAGAUCACUCCGAUCACUCACAAUCAUGGCACUGCUACUGCUUUCCAUAUGAGUCUAGAAAAAAAAUUCACUGAUGUUGGGAGCAGAAGCCAAUGUUCUAGAUAACCUACAACUAACCAUUAAUUAUUUUAAAUCACAUCAUUCUGUCUUUUACUUUAUGAAAACAAAUGG